rnacentral:rRNA from 1 species
UACGUAGGGGGCAAGCGUUAUCCGGAUUUACUGGGUGUAAAGGGAGCGUAGACGGUUAUGUAAGUCUGGAGUGAAAGCCCGGGGCCCAACCCCGGGACUGCUUUGGAAACUGUGUAACUGGAGUACAGGAGGGGCAGGCGGAAUUCCUGGUGUAGCGGUGAAAUGCGUAGAUAUUUGGAAGAACACCGAUGGCGAAGGCAGCCCCCUGGGACGCAACUGACGCUCAUACACGAAAGCGUGGGGAGCAAACAGG